rnacentral:lncRNA from 15 species
AGGGUCUGAGGGCCAGACUGGAACCCGGGCCGCUGCGAUAAGGACUCAGCUUUGAUAUGUGGGGCACCCGGCAGUAUGUAGCUUUUGUAUUUAAACAGGACUACGAGUCCACAGUCACACUAGUGGCUCUGUAUGGUUGCGCUUAGGAACAGUGGUGCUUUGAGUUAAAUACUAACAUCAGGAUACUAACAUGCUCACAAUCAAAACGCUGAUGUUAAACAGGUGUACUGCUUGUCAUGUUCAGCAUGUUUGUCAGGUCUUUGGUCAUUUGGCCGUUUCAUUCUGGGCUACUGUAGAAACAUGGCGGUUAAACUUGAGGACUCCAUGGAAGAGGACAAAAAUAACUCAUUCUAAGAACCUUUGGAGCAGUAACAGCAACUCCUCCUUUAUCCUCCCUAUCUGGGAUGGGUUUGAGAAGACCUUAACCAGUACCCUAGAGGUCAGACACCAGAUGGUGAAGUGACUGAAGGACAAUAAGCCUUGGAUCCCUAUCAUACCUGAAAGUCGGGCUUAGCCCCGUAGCCUCUUCUUUGACUAACAAUGCUCCAUGCAUGUGGUGAUGAAAGUCCUUUUAGAGAUUUAGGGCAACACUUUUAACAGAAGGAACCAAACAAAUGCCAGUUUGAUGUUGCACAGACUAGAUAAUAGCAGUGAGAGUUCUAGCAGUCAGGAGACACAUCAGAGAAAAUGUUUCAAUCCCUUGCCGAUGGGGGAACAUGUGCACUGCCAGAGCUAGGAUUUUAAGAAAAGAGUUCUGCUCAAAGAUUUUUCAUAGAGACACUAGAUGCAAUACUAUUUAUACCAUGAUAGCUAUCUGUUAGCAUCUGUGGGUCGAUGAGUCCGCUGUGGGUAGUGUUGCAAAUCAAAGAGCAAUGCUGUGUCCAAAAUCCCUCCCUUACUACUCCCUAUAUAAUGGACACUCAGUAGCUGACUCAGUGGUGAGCAGUAAAUUGAGGACACUAAAGGCCUGAAUAUACUCCCAAACAGAUGCGUACAGGGAUAGCUGAGGACACCAAGGACGCAUAGUAGUUCUGUUUAUACAACUUCCUGGAGUCCGCUUUGAGGACAUGUUUCACACGUGCAGUAGAUCAGCAUCUACUGGAAGACAUGCCCUUGCAGUGUAGCGGCCAUGCGGGUAGUCCAACAGCACUGUGACCAUGCGGACUGCAGAUGUCCACCCAGAGCAUACGCAUUAACCCUCAGAGAGCAUAAUGCCACCAAAUGUGAAUACAAUAAUAUUGAGUAGAUUACAUACAAAGUCAAUUCAACGUUGUGAGCGGUUUGCAAGCCCCAAUUGCAAUUUCAGUUUUAAGAGCCAAAAAUAGCGCAUUGCAUUUGGGAAUAAUUUUGUUUAGUUUAUUGACAUUAAAUCACAGCAUCACAUAUCUGUUUACUUUAGGCUCCUAUCACCAUUGUAAGCCAGAAAAAUGGGUGAAUAUUCACAAUACUUUUUUUUUUGUUCUGUAGUGGAAUUUCUAAUCUAUAUAGGGGCGACUGUGGCUCAGGAGGUAGAGCGGCUCAUCCAUCCACUGACACAAGGUUGACCCCCACCUCCUUCUGUCACAUGUCAAAGUGUCAAACACUGAAGCCCAAAUUGCUUCCCAGCACCCUGUGUAGUAGCUCGCACAUGUGUGCGGGACUGUGUGCGUGCAUGGGUGAAUGAGUGGCAAAAACCUUGUGAAUGUAGCAUUUUACCAUUUACAUUGAAACACAGACACUUAAAUAAAAUGGCAGACAGUAAAUGUAGUGCACUAGAGAGUAAAAUGGGAGUGAUUUCAGAAACAGCCAGGACUGUUAUAGGGCAUGUUCUUGAUAUAUAUUAAUAUAAUAUAAAACUAUAUACUGUAACAGGCCUUUAUAUUAGGCACACCAAGCUCAUGGUUUUUAUUUUUUACCUUUUCCUACCAAAAACUACCAAUAUCUUUUGAAAAUAAUUUUAUGUUAAUGUUAUGUUCCCAUGCAAUCAUUAGCUCCAGUUAGUUAGUUGAUUCACAGAAUCAGCAUUUUUCAGCUAUACAAAUGUCAGGUUUUGGUUUAUUUUUGUUGUAUGAUAGUAAUCUUACUGGCUUUUUCUGACAUUUCCUAAACACGAAGAUUAAUGAAUUAAUCCAGAAAAUAAUCAUUAAUUGCAGCCAACUGAUGCUUUACCUCUGAGUGUUUAGUUGCAUGUAUAACAAAAGAAGCUUUAUGAUGUCGAAAAGCUUGAG